AUAUAUCAACCUCUUCAGCUUUUUGCAUGUUGAGUGUUGGAUGUGGGGGGUAUUUUUUGCUGGCCUCUAUAAAAUCUGAGGUCAGCUCCCCUAAAAUGCAUCAGCGAAACAGUUUGUUUACCGCUCAUUGGUGUGAUAACUAUCUACGCUAUUGACGGUGAACGCAUGUUUAGCUUCUAACAGUCCAUUAACUUGGACAACCUUUUAUUA
rnacentral:misc_RNA from 1 species